GAAUCGGCGGGAGAGCUGCGAGGCGAAGAUACCUAAAUGGAUCUCAGAUCUUCUAGAAAUUCUUGUUGGAAAUAUACCCAAUCUACAUUUUAUCUUUGAGACCUUCCUUGUAAAUACAUGGAUAAAAAUUGUGGAAAAACUACAGAAGUGAAAGCUCAGCCCUUGUACCAGUCUGGCAUCAUCUUUGGAUCAUCCAUUGGUAUAACCUGGGCCCAAGACAAAGUUACCAAGAAGGAAUGUUGUUUUUUGAAGAGGACCAAUGGCAUCAUGGCACAAGGCAGAGUCACACAAAGUCAUCAAAGGACUCACUCUCUUUUCCAGAGUCAUCCAAACCUGGUGGUAAGACAGAAGUCAGGAUGGCUGACUGGGAUGCAGUGGAUGACCUUGGCAUCUUCAGCAUUUGACCCAGCUUAGAAG
rnacentral:lncRNA from 1 species